ACCUCGGUAUGGUUGGGAACGUGUUCAGCACAGUUCUGCACAGAUGAGAGGUGUGUCGGAGGAUUAACGUUUUUACUUGCAUUCCUGUGUGAGUUAACCCUGUGUGCGUGCUUAUCAUAUGACCACACACACAUAUACACACUCACACUCCCUUUACCUGCAUGUGAAUACUGUAAUGCAA